rnacentral:misc_RNA from 1 species
GGUGUGAUGGCUUUGAUGCAGGUUCACAGCUUCGGACAAACUCAAGGAAGACAACUUGAGUAUUAAGAGUCAGCGUCCUAUUCAAGCUGCUUGUUGGUUCUUCAUGGCUAGAGAAGCCAUGACCUCUAUUUUCCUCUCUCAUAACUCAAAGGUGAUAGUCUCCCAAUGGCUCUUUUGGAGAUGAAGGUUUCUUGUUGAGUUUUUCUGGUGUAUUCUUAAUCCAGUGUGGUUUUCUAGCCUUGCAUGGGUAUGACAGACUCUCCAUCUUUAUGGUCUCCUAUGAGUGUCCUAGUUCUAUUGUUUAUCUUGAUGAGGCGGUGCCAAGCAAUGUCCGGACUUCCUAUGUGAAGUGCAGAAU